UCCUGGCUCAGAUUGAACGCUGGCGGCAGGCCUAACACAUGCAAGUCGAACGGUAACAGGAAGCAGCUUGCUGCUUUGCUGACGAGUGGCGGACGGGUGAGUAAUGUCUGGGAAACUGCCCGAUGGAGGGGGAUAACUACUGGAAACGGUAGCUAAUACCGCAUAAUGUCGCAAGACCAAAGAGGGGGACCUUCGGGCCUCUUGCCAUCGGAUGUGCCCAGAUGGGAUUAGCUAGUAGGUGGGGUAACGGCUCACCUAGGCGACGAUCCCUAGCUGGUCUGAGAGGAUGACCAGCCACACUGGAACUGAGACACGGUCCAGACUCCUACGGGAGGCAGCAGUGGGGAAUAUUGCACAAUGGGCGCAAGCCUGAUGCAGCCAUGCCGCGUGUAUGAAGAAGGCCUUCGGGUUGUAAAGUACUUUCAGCGGGGAGGAAGGCAGUACGGUUAAUAACCGUGCUGAUUGACGUUACCCGCAGAAGAAGCACCGGCUAACUCCGUGCCAGCAGCCGCGGUAAUACGGAGGGUGCAAGCGUUAAUCGGAAUUACUGGGCGUAAAGCGCACGCAGGCGGUCUGUCAAGUCGGAUGUGAAAUCCCCGGGCUCAACCUGGGAACUGCAUUCGAAACUGGCAGGCUUGAGUCUUGUAGAGGGGGGUAGAAUUCCAGGUGUAGCGGUGAAAUGCGUAGAGAUCUGGAGGAAUACCGGUGGCGAAGGCGGCCCCCUGGACAAAGACUGACGCUCAGGUGCGAAAGCGUGGGGAGCAAACAGGAUUAGAUACCCUGGUAGUCCACGCCGUAAACGAUGUCGACUUGGAGGUUGUGCCCUUGAGGCGUGGCUUCCGGAGCUAACGCGUUAAGUCGACCGCCUGGGGAGUACGGCCGCAAGGUUAAAACUCAAAUGAAUUGACGGGGGCCCGCACAAGCGGUGGAGCAUGUGGUUUAAUUCGAUGCAACGCGAAGAACCUUACCUGGUCUUGACAUCCACGGAAUUUGGCAGAGAUGCCUUAGUGCCUUCGGGAACCGUGAGACAGGUGCUGCAUGGCUGUCGUCAGCUCGUGUUGUGAAAUGUUGGGUUAAGUCCCGCAACGAGCGCAACCCUUAUCCUUUGUUGCCAGCGGUCCGGCCGGGAACUCAAAGGAGACUGCCAGUGAUAAACUGGAGGAAGGUGGGGAUGACGUCAAGUCAUCAUGGCCCUUACGACCAGGGCUACACACGUGCUACAAUGGCGCAUACAAAGAGAAGCGACCUCGCGAGAGCAAGCGGACCUCAUAAAGUGCGUCGUAGUCCGGAUUGGAGUCUGCAACUCGACUCCAUGAAGUCGGAAUCGCUAGUAAUCGUGGAUCAGAAUGCCACGGUGAAUACGUUCCCGGGCCUUGUACACACCGCCCGUCACACCAUGGGAGUGGGUUGCAAAAGAAGUAGGUAGCUUAACCUUCGGGAGGGCGCUUACCACUUUGUGAUUCAUGACUGGGGUGAAGUCGUAACAA
rnacentral:rRNA from 1 species